UACGCACGCUGGCGGCGUGCUUAACACAUGCAAGUCGAGCGGUAAGGCCUUUCGGGGUACACGAGCGGCGAACGGGUGAGUAACACGUGGGUGAUCUGCCCUGCACUUCGGGAUAAGCCUGGGAAACUGGGUCUAAUACCGGAUAUGACCUCCUAUCGCAUGGUGGGUGGUGGAAAGAUUUAUCGGUGCAGGAUGGGCCCGCGGCCUAUCAGCUUGUUGGUGGGGUAAUGGCCUACCAAGGCGACGACGGGUAGCCGACCUGAGAGGGUGACCGGCCACACUGGGACUGAGACACGGCCCAGACUCCUACGGGAGGCAGCAGUGGGGAAUAUUGCACAAUGGGCGAAAGCCUGAUGCAGCGACGCCGCGUGAGGGAUGACGGCCUUCGGGUUGUAAACCUCUUUCAGCAGGGACGAAGCGCAAGUGACGGUACCUGCAGAAGAAGCACCGGCUAACUACGUG
rnacentral:rRNA from 1 species